GAUAGGAAAUGGACGAAGACCGAAGUUUGAAGAUGCUUUUAUUUCCCAUUGAUUGUAUUAAAGUGACAGGUUGCCAUAUUUCGGCUGUGGUUGGUGUUUGUGGCGGAGACGAAGACUAUUUUACACAUUAGCAAACUAGCAAACAUGGGAGCUGCUGGUGACACAACGUGGUUUGUUUUUAUCAACGCGUGAUCCAAGACGUGAAGGCCGCCGCCAUGAUUUGAACUUGGCUCCUCCCCAAGAUGGCGACUCUAGAGGGGGAGGGGGCAGAUGUCCAUUUUGUGCACCGACAAGACAAGUGCCAUCAUAAGCAGCAGACACAACAUGGAGGACAGCAACAUGGAGGUCACGUGUCAUCAACGCCACACGUCAACUCUGAACUCCGGUACAUCCCUUUUUAGACAUCCGUGUCAAACCCAAACCCAAACAACAGUAACAAUUCCCGUCGUUCCAAAAUGGCACCUGUAAUGUACUGUGUGCAAGAAGUGGGGGGGGGGGGUCUCUAAUUGCCCUCCUCAGCUGCCGUGCCCUGCAGUAGAGUUGCUGUUGUUCAAGCACAUGUGAUGGAGCAAUAAAAAAAAAUGGCCUUCAAUACACAUCAUUUCAACUUCCUGUCUGCCAGGCGAGCUAUCAUACCUGCCAACGUUGGGACAUAAGGCACGUUCUCUGGAAAAUGACGGAAAAUAAGAGAAAUUUGGGAGUGUCCAACAGAGUUCCCGGCAACGGGAAUUCUGAAAAAAACAAAAGAAAAUGUCCAAAAACAGGGUCCACCCAAAGGAGGGAUUUCCCACAAAUUGUGUGCAUUUUUGUUUUUUAAAAAAUCAGCAGAACACGUUUUCCCCCCUAAAAUGGGGGCCACCUCAUGUAGUAAAUCCUUGAAAUUUUCAGAUUUAUGCUUUAAUAAAAUACAUUCAAAAAUUCCAAAAUGGAGUACACCUAAAACACCUAAAACAUGUGGAUUUUAUAUUUCAAGAAAAUAUAGAAAGUUUAAAUGGGGUAAGGGGGGGGGGGGGCUAAAUCGCUAGGUGUGUAACUACAAUGAUGGAUUUGGGAGAGCGGUACACGCACCCGGGCCCGCCACAAAUAAAUCAGGUGCUCCCUAUUGGCUCUUGCUUCUAAAUAAACACAUUAUAACGGGACUGUCUGGUCGCACACGUCAUGCAGGCACCGGAGAAGAAGAAGACGUAGCAGGUGGGAUCAGUGUUCCUGCUCUUAUUGGACAAAAACAGGGUUCGCCCAAAGGAGGGAUUUCCCACAAAUGUGUGCAUUUUUGGUUUUUAAAAAAAUCAGCAGAACACGUUUUUCCCCUUAAAAUGGGGGCCACCUCAUAUAGUAAAUUCUUGAAAUUUUCAGAUUUAUGCUUUAAUAAAAUGCAUUAAAAAUACAAAAAUGGGGUACACCUAAAACAUGUGGAUUUUAUCUUUCAAGAUUUCAAGAAAAUAUAGAAAAUUUAAAUGGGGGGGCUAAAUUGCUAAGUGUGUAACAAGAAUGAUGGAUUUGGGAGAGCCAUACACACAUCCGGGCCCGCCACAAAUAAAUCAGGUGCUCCCUAUUGGCUCUUGCUUCUAAAUAAACACAUUAUAACGGGACUGUCUGUGGUGGCACACCUCAUACAGGCACCGGAGAAGAAGAAGACGUAGCAGGUGGGAUCAGUGUUUCUGCUCUUAUUGGACAAAAACAGGGUUCGCCCAAAGGAGGGAUUUCCCACAAACGUGUGCAUUUUUGGUUUUUUAAAAAAUCAGCAGAACACGUUUUUCCCCCUAAAAUGGGGGCCACCUCAUAUAGUAAAUCCUUGAAAUUUUCAGAUUUAUGCUUUAAUAAAAUGCAUUAAAAAUACAAAAAUGGGGUACACCUAAAACAUGUGGAUUUUAUCUUUCAAGAUUUCAAGAAAAUAUAGAAAAUUUAAAUGGGGGGGGGCUAAAUUGCUAAGUGUGUAACAAGAAUGAUGGAUUUGUGAGAGCGGUACACACACCCGGGCCCGCCACAAAUGAAUCAUGUGCUCCCUAUUGGCUUUUGCUUCUAAAUAAACACAUUAUAACGGGACUUUCUGUGGUGGCACACCUCAUACAGGCACCAGAGAAUAAGAACAUGUAGCAGGUGGGAUCAGUGUUUCUGCUUUUAUUGGACACUCUUGGAGACAAGACCUCGAAGCCAAACUCUAGCCGACAUUCCCGGCGGACUCAGCUUUGCAUCCGGCGUGAUCGGCACACCUCAGCGAGGGGCGAGGAGGGAACGCAUAGCACCCCCCCCCCAUGCAAAUGAGGCGGACGUCCGCAAAUGAAACGUCAGGACAUAAAAUAUUGUCACUUUCAUUUCGCCGGCGAAUCCAUAUUCCUCCUUAAAUAAAAGUGUCAUGGCGGCCGAGGGUAAUGACGGCAGAACAAAGCGGCGUGAUUAACGAUAGCAAUUUAUUGUAUCUGGCGGCCGGCGAGGCGGCGGCGGCGUCGGCGGCGGCAGGGCUCGGCGACACGGCGGUUAUCAUAAUUCAUAUCGUAAAUAAGAGCGGCCGGCCAAUCAGGAGGAGGCGAUGUCAUCCCAAAUAACCUUUGAUAACAAUUACCAUACAAGUCACAAUGUUAUCUUCUCCUAUUCUCCCCUUGUAGAAUACAACACUAUUACCAUAUAGAUUAGACUAUUUAUAAUGCUGGUGUCAUUCUCUAGCCAAGGUGGGGGGGGGGGGGGGGGCGCUACAACCUGUCGUUAAGACUAGAUUAUUAUGGUCUGCUCUUUAUGACGAGCGCUCUGUAUCACACGGAAGCACAUUGCCGACGCACCGCAAGGAUGUGUGUGUGUGUGUGUGUGUGUGUUCGUGCGGGGUCAUGUGGG